ACCCCCAACUCUGUGAUGGUCACUUUGUCAUCCACCACCGUGAUGGUCCUCUCGGCCAGGAUCGAGUCUGACAAAGGAGACAGCACCUACCCCGAGACAGAGACAUAGUACAGCAAGUGCCAAAAACUAAUUUUUCGAUACGGAUCAUAAAAGUGGCCUCGGAAAGUAGUGUCUCAAUCUACGCUACAGUCUCUUCGUGAAAUCUUUUUAAUUUCCUGUUUGCAGACAUUGUGGCCGGGGGAGGUCUCCCCCUGGAGAAAUCAUCAGCGAGAACGACUGAAACUACACAAAGAAAAACUUCAUCGACAGAAAAUCCAAACAGAAAUAAGCCGCCGUUUGACUGACACGCGAUUCCUCGCAACGGAAGGCACCAGCGUCACGUCAACGGGCACUUGGCAGCGAAAAACAGCAGAUUAGUUCGAGGCUUCAGUAAAAUUACGGGAUACCGAGACAGUUAUAGAAGAGAGAUCUGACUGUUUACUGGCCUCAGCAGUUAAAAAUCACUUUACCUGGGACUGCUGGCCGCGACGGGCACCCGCCACCCUUUGAUCUGGCUCAACUCCGUGUCAGACACUUCAAUUUGGAGGGGAAGCCGAGGGAUCCACACGUCGAGCUCCAGCUGAGCACUCAGUCGCACCUCUCCGACACCUGCGGAGGAAGACGAGCGGGUGGGAGAAGGGCGACGGUCGUCAAGGUCAGCUUUUGCACGGCAGCGAAUGAGGCUACACCCAACAGUGCCGUCAUUCCGCCCUCCACGUUGAAUUGGCAGGAUAUUUGAUAAGCACCGUCUGUCAUUUGGGUGACCUCAUCUCUGUACUUCGACUGAUCUACGUCUUAGAUGAGCCGGAGCACGGCGGUACCAUCCACAAUUUUUAGGAUGGUGUUUCAGAAAUGCUCAGGUGAGACAGUUUCUGGACUGGCAUCUCCACGACUCCAGGUAGACCAACUCUACGUAGUUCCUCCUGUGCUUCGUAUGACUCAGUGCAGUGUGGAGUGCAAUGAUUACAGCCACCUUUGUGAAUCGGUUUCCCCUUAAGGCAAACCGGUGGGGGUCCAAAGUGGAAGGCAGACGGGCUCUGGUGUGCCGUGAGAUCAGCCUUUCAAAGCGCUUCAGGAUCACAGGCAUCAGUGCCAGCGGCCGGUAGCCAUUGAGAAUCACCGCUGCUGACGUUUUUGGGGGCGGGGAUGACGGUGGAGGCUUUAUGGCGGUCUGGUAUGGUGGUCUGUGCCUGACGCAGGUUAAAAAGGUUGGCGAAAACGCCAACAUGGUCAGCACAUGCUUUGAGCACCUUAACAGGUACGCCCUCGGUGUAUGAAAAGUGCUUCAUAGAUUCUGUUUGAUUGACAGUCAACAGAUUUCAAACAAGAACCUCUCAAUUGUGAGGAAGGCAAGCUAACCGUUACUCUUCUGGUCUUCUGCAUUUUCUUUAUAUUAGUUUCACUUGUCUCGUCUGAAACAUCUUGUAAUAAACAAUGGCUAUAAAAAGUCUAAACUCCCGUGUUCA